rnacentral:rRNA from 1 species
AAUAGAUACCCUGGUAGUCCACGCCGUAAACGAUGAGUGCUAAGUGUUAGAGGGUUUCCGCCCUUUAGUGCUGCAGCUAACGCAUUAAGCACUCCGCCUGGGGAGUACGGCCGCAAGGCUGAAACUCGAAAGGAAUUGACGGGGGCCCGCACAAGCGGUGGAGCAUGUGGUUUAAUUCGAAGCAACGCGAAGAACCUUACCAGGUCUUGACAUCCUCUGCCAACCCUAGAGAUAGGGCGUUCCCCUUCGGGGGACAGAGUGACAGGUGGUGCAUGGUUGUCGUCAGCUCGUGUCGUGAGAUGUUGGGUUAAGUCCCGCAACGAGCGCAACCCUUGAUCUUAGUUGCCAGCAUUCAGUUGGGCACUCUAAGGUGACUGCCGGUGACAAACCGGAGGAAGGUGGGGAUGACGUCAAAUCAUCAUGCCCCUUAUGACCUGGGCUACACACGUGCUACAAUGGAUGGUACAAAGAGCUGCGAACCCGCGAGGGUAAGCCAAUCUCAUAAAGCCAUUCUCAGUUCGGAUUGUAGG